rnacentral:SRP_RNA from 1 species
CUGUACUAGGCGGGGAACUAGCGGUGCCCUGUACCUGCAAUCCGCUAUAGCAGGGUUGAAUUCCUGUUAGAGGUAGUAACUUGUAAGGACUGCCCCUAGUAAGUGGUGUUGACAUUUAGGCCCUACGCGGCAGAAACUUCCAAACCCCGUCAGGCCUGGGAAGGAGCAGCGGUAAGGAAGCACUUCUGGGUGCCGUAGGUCUACCUAAUUCGAGCUAACUGCUGGGGUAACGCUUGGGGGUUACUAUCGAAGGCAGGUGUACAG